AUUGAACGCUGGCGGCAGGCCUAACACAUGCAAGUCGAGCGAGCGGCGGACUGGUGAGUAAUGUAUGGGGACUGCCUGAUCGAGGGGGAUAACUACUGGAAACGGUGGCUACUACCGCAUACUAUCGGAUAACCCAUAUGGGAUUAGCUAGUAGGUGGGGUAAUGGCUAACCUAGGCGACGAUCCCUCGCUGGUCUGAGAGGAGGAUCAGCCACACUGGGACUGAGAAACGGCCCAGACUCCUACGGAGGCAGAAGUGGGGAAUAUUGGACAAUGGGCGCAAGCCUGAUGCAGCCAUGCCGCGUGUAUGAAGAAGGCCCUAGGGUUGUAAAGUACUUUCAGUCGGGAGGCGUUACCGACAGAAGAAGCACCGGCUAACUCCGUGCCAGCAGCCGCGGUAAUAC
rnacentral:rRNA from 1 species